AUUGAACGCUGGCGGCAGGCCUAACACAUGCAAGUCGAACGAGUGGCGGACGGGUGAGUAAUGGCUGGGAAACUGCCUGAUGGAGGGGGAUAACUACGGGAAAAGGUAGCUAAUACCGCAUACCAUCGGAUGUGCCCAGAUGGGAUGAGCUAGUAGGUGGGGUAAAGGCUCACCUAGCCGACGAUCCCUAGCUGGUCUGAGCGGAUGACCAGCCACACUGGAACUUGGACACGGUCCAGACUCCUACGGGAGGCAGCAGUGGGGAAUAUUGCACAAUGGGCGCAAGCCUGAUACAGCCAUGCCGCGUGAAUGAAGAAGGCCUUCGGGUUGUAAAGUUCUUUCAGCUGGGAGGCGUUACCCACAGAAGAAGCACCGGCUAACUCCGUGCCAGCCGCCGCGGUAAUUC
rnacentral:rRNA from 1 species